GGGGGUAUAGUUCAGUGGUAGAGCAUUCGACUGCAGAUCGAAAAGGCCCCAGUUAAAACCCGGGUGUCCUCU